GAGGACUUGAUGAAUUUUGAGAUGGUUUGAUUGUUUAAGUGGAUAACACCCGAUUCUUAUUGCGAUUGAAGGGUUAAAAGAUCAAGUACUAGCUCCAAUUCCAGUUCAGCUUUUGAAAUUACAAGAGAGAAAUGGAAAUGAACGAUAGUAUGACGAGCUGAAUAUAAGAAAUUGCCAUUUUUUGGGAAAUUAAUUCAAUGGCGUGUAAAUAUAAAUUCACACGUGGUAGCACGGUCAGCAUUCCAUAGAGGUACAGUCAACAUUUUGUUUGGUGUUUAAUGGGGGAGUGAACAAAAUACUCUAAGUUUCUAACCGCAGUGCUUAAAUUGAAAAAAAAAAAUAGUUUUAAAGUGACCAAAAUAGAAAGGAAGUAAUUUUAGAGAGGCUAUGUGGGGAGUUUACCCAAAAUAUAUCCAUAGCAAAGUGUAAA
rnacentral:lncRNA from 1 species